ACAAAAACAUUGCUUCUUGACCUCCUAUAAGAAGUAAAUCCUGCCCAGUGAUCUAUUUCAACGGCCGCGGUAUCCUAACCGUGCAAAGGUAGCAUAAUCACUUGCCCAUUAAUUGUGGGCUAGAAUGAAAGGACUAACGAAAUAAAAACUGUCUCUAUAAGCUACCUAAAAAUUAAUCUUUAACUGAAGAGUGUUAAAUUUCCUCGAAGGACAAGAAGACCCUAUAGAGCUUUAUUUAAACAAAAAAUUAUCUUUUUUCUAAAUUCGGUUGGGGCGACCCGGGAAAUAAUCCUCCCUUCUAAAAAGAUAAAUUAAUCAUACUCUUGACCCUUAAUAAGAUCUUAAAAUCAAGCUACCUUAGGGAUAACAGGCUAAUCCUGCUAAAGAGCCCUUAUCAAUAGCAGGGAUUGGCACCUCGAUGUUGGCUUAGGGAAUCUAUAUGGCGCAAAAGUCAUAUAUAGA
rnacentral:rRNA from 1 species